ACUUGCACAAUAAAGGUUCUGCAGGAACUGAGAAGAAAGAAGGAAUAUUAGUUGAAGUAGUGUUCAUACCCAGGUGGUCAGCGCUCCACACGAGGUAUGCGUUUUAAGUUACAUUGCCAGUAUGGCAGUUAAAAUAAUAUGGACUCAUCCUACAGCAUCAAUGACUGUUCUGUGUAGCACAAAGAUUGCUGCCACGCACAAAAAGAGCAUUUGGAAUGCCUUUUAUCUUCGAUUUUAUCUUCUACUGCUCUAAAACCUGUUGGAAAGAAACAUUGUUUGUAUAUCCUGAGUAUACGUCUGUUAUUCUGGGGAUAAAUGAGAACUGCCAUCUGAAUUCUGAGCUCUGCGUCUUAGGAGGUCCACCUAAUGGGGGUGGAGAAUAAAUCUGGCAAAGAUCUUGAAUAUAUUCCCCCUGCUCCUUGGAGGUUUCAGUAAUGUUCCAGAACUGAAACCACCCUGCUCAUCCAGAAUAUCCAGAAGAGCUGGCACAGAGCCUACAUUUUCUCCAACUGGUAGCAGGGUGGAGUGGAUACCUUUCUCUCCUGCCACCUUGCACUGAUAUUGUUCAUUCCCUUUUAAUCCCUGCUCUAUAAAGAGCAUACAAUGCAAACAGAAAUUCUUUGAGAUUUUUCUCUUUUCAUACUGUCAUGAAAUGGUAUCACUAUACUUUGGGUUUUAUUUAACUUUUUUUUUGCAUAACAUAAUCCUGACCAUGGCUUCAAUUUUAAUGUCAAAAUGGAAGAGAUGAAAAAGAAAAGUUUUCAUAGUAUUCCUUCCCUGUUACCAGCUUAAACUACAAUAGUUUCCAAGUACCUACGGCUGAAGCACAGCUCUGCUACAACACACCACACCCUCCCUAAUCACAGGGUGGAAGCACUGCUAUGACUUGGAUGCGAACACUUCUCUGCCAAUAAUUCCUGACACAUGAGCUGUCUAAGCUUUACCGUGACACUCCUCCAGUCCUUCUCUGUUUGGAAACACCUUCAUGAGACACGGAUGGAUAUGAAAACAUGCAAGAUUCCAAACGCAGAGCAAACACAUGGGGUGGGAUGGCUACCCACAAAAAACAUCCCAUAAAACAACCUCAAGAAAAAUUUUAGCCUCUCUGUAUCAUGCAAUAUCUAUUAGUCCAACCAUGGCCGAUCCUGAUGUGUCCUUCACACAGGCUGCAUUUAUUGGUAUCCUACCAUUGGUAUGGAAGACCUCAGAGACUUAAAACCUGGCAAAGAGUCUGACUUUCAAAACUCUGGCACAAAACUAGCACUAAUGGCCAAGUCAACCCUGGCUCUGGAUGGCGUUCCUAAAACACGAGCUCUGGUUCUACAGGGAGAAUAUCCACUUCCUACAUGAUACAUCUUUUGACAGCCUUCUCUAGAAAAGAUGGAGGGACUGGGAGACAGAAAUGUAGAUAACUGAAAACAGCUACAUUUUAAAAGAAGAAACAUUUUCUGUGGUGCACUGGAAACACUUUCCCGACAAAUUUAAAGAGGAAGAAAAAAUGGAACAAGUAUUAUUCACAUGGAUUGAAUUUUGCAUACAUAAUAUCCAAAACCUGCAGCAAUGAAAAAAAAAUUGAAAAGCAUUAAUUUGUGAUUUGCCAGAAGUUCAUGUUCCAUCUUACUGAACACAAAUCUGGACAUGGGAACGCUUGCUUUUCUGACCUUCUAGCUUCUCUUGCUCCUCAUUGUGUUAAUAAAUGAAGAUGAAUGCUGUGAAAGCUCCAACUCACAUUAAAAAAAAUGAAGCAAACCAUCUAUUUAAUACAGCCAACUGCUAUGAAAAGAGGCUAUAGGAUUGGCCUUCCCUGAUUCCAGUUCAAGAUCUGCAUGCUGAUAAUGGGGACUUCUGCAAUUGAAAGCCGAAAUGCAAUUCCUGGCUGUUCUUUCAUCCAUCUGACCCAAAUACUACCACAUUCAUUGCUUCAAGAAUACGACUGACGGUCAUCAGAGGGAGGGUAAUGAGAAGGAGAUCAGCCUUCAUGAGAGCCAAGUAUGAUCUAUUGAUCCUCCUCCCACCAAAGAAUGAACAUAGCCCUUACUCAUUCUAAAUUAGAUCUGAAAUUUAUUUCUUCAGCUUAACUUUCCUCAUAUUUUUCACAAAUAACGUAAGAUACUCUCUCUCUUGCACAUAUACGUAUAUAUAAACAAAAAACUCCAACAAGUCCAA